GAAUUACUAAGUAGGCGUGAUACAAGAGUCAACGAUGAUGAUUGGAAAUAUCUCAUUGACUAUUGGAGGUCUCCUGAACAUGAAGCUCGCACAUUAAUUGCUAAAGCCAAUCGUGCAAAGUUGAAGCUGACACAUACGUCGGGCAGCAAGAGCUAUGCUCGUUCUGGACAUGAACUGAGUGGUACACUAGGGCGCCCUCCUCGAAGAGAUGAGGUCUUUAUCAAAAC